AAGUCGUAACAAGGUUUCCGUAGGUGAACCUGCGGAAGGAUCAUUAUUGAAAAAGGGAACCCUUCGGGGUUCAACCUUAAACCCUUUGUCUUAAUUACCUGUUUCUUUGGCGGGCUCGCCCGUCAGAAGUUUUCUCAAACCCAUUAUAAAUGUGUCAUCUGAAUAAUAAAAUAAAUCAAAACUUUCAACAACGGAUCUCUUGGUUCUG
rnacentral:misc_RNA from 1 species